rnacentral:rRNA from 1 species
AUGUAAUGCCUACAAUUUUAAUGUACCCAAUCCCAUUAGAACUCCGCAGUUAAGCGUGCUUGAGAUAGAGUAUUACUAGGAUGGGUGACCUCCUGUGAAGUCCUAGUGUCUUACAUG